CUUGUUUGACUGUGGGGUGAGUCUGAUAUUGGUUUUCCACUUAUUGGAUACUUUUUGCUUGAUCUAGGCCCACAGCUUCCUUGUCCACUUACCCUAGAUUCAUAGCCUGAGAAUUGCCCUGAGCUAAACGCAUGUUCUCCAAACCCUGAAGACUGACUUGAACUUGACCCAUGUUGUCCAAAGCCAGAGGACGUCACUGAGCCUGACUCAUGUUGGCCAUAGCCAGACUGCCCUGAUCUAGACUCAUGGUGUUCAAAACUAGAAGACUGAUAUGAACUAGACCCAUGUUGACCAGAGCCAGAGGACAGGGUUGAGCCUGACCGAUGUUGCCCACAGCCAGAGGAUUGGCCUGAACCUGACCUAUGGUGUCCACAGCCAGAGGACUGGCCUGAGCCUGACCCGUGUUGGCCAUAGCCAGACUGCCCUGAUCUAGACUCAUGGUAUUCAAAACCAAAGGAAUGAUGUGAACUAGACCCAUGUAGUCCAGAGCCAGAAGACUGACCUGAGGCUGAGCCAUGUUGUCCAGAGCCAGAGGACUGGCCUGAGCCUGACCCAUGUUGUCCAGAGCCAGAGGACUGGUGUGAGCCUGACCCAUGGUGUCCAAAGCCAGAGGACUGGCCUGAGCCUGACCCAUGUUGUCCAGAGCCAGAGGACUGUCCUGAGCCUGACCUGCGUUGGCCACAGCCAGACUGCCCUGAUCUGGACUCAUGGUGCUCAAAACCAGAGGACUGGCCUGAGCCUGACCCAUGUUGUCCUGAGCCAGACUGCCCUGAUCUGGACUCAUGGUGUUCAAAACUAGAGGACUGAUGCGAACUAGACCCAUGUUGUCCAGAGCCAGAGGACUGGCCUGAGCCUGACGCAUGUUGUCCAGAGCCAGAGGACUGGCCUGAGGCUGACCCAUGUUGGCCACAGCCAGAGGACUGGCCUGAGCCUGACCCAUGUUGUCCAGAGCCAGAGGACUUGCCUGAGGCUGACCCGUGUAGGCCAAAGCCAGAGGACUGGCCUGAGCCUGACCCAUGUUGUCCUGAGCCAGACUGCCCUGAUCUGGACUCAUGGUGCUCAAAACU
rnacentral:lncRNA from 1 species